UCGUGACGUCAUCACGACGCGCCGCAGCGCUUCUCUCAGGUGCGGAGCCCAAAAUGGCGGCACGGCGGAGAUCCGGGCGGCUCAGAGAGAACCGUGCGGGUCCGGGGCUGCCCGGCGCUCAGCUUUACGCCCGUAAAACCGGCUUUAGGCGGGGCUGCGUGCGGAAAGCGGUAGUGGUGGGGAGCGCUGGGGAGGACCGUGAGACGCAUCUCCACUGCGUGAGGGACGCGAAGCCGUUCGGGCCGUAGGGAGAGAAAUUGCAAUAAAACGGUGUUUUUGUACAAAAAAAAAAAAAGAAUAACCCAAAAAAACCCAA